ACUAUUUUGACAGAUUAAUGUAAUAAUUUUAGAAAUUAUUUAUGUGUAAUUUUAUUACACAAAUAGUA
rnacentral:tRNA from 1 species